CUAAAAGCCACCAUUCAUCAGCGAUUAUUGGACGAUUCUGAGCCGAUCAGACAAGGUGGACGACUCAAUGUUGGAAUUUGAAUACGUUCCCUGUAAGGCUGCAUGGCAAUCAUGACAAUAGCUAAUCUCCAUGUGACCACCAUCGCAAACACAAAUGCCAAGGAAGCACUUACGGAAACUUGAAUCAGUAACGACAUGCGAUCGGCAAUUAGAGAUCUGACCAAGUUGGCUUCAGUCACUAGCCGGGCACAGAUGGCUGCACUUGUAUUCUGAUCUUGAUCAAACCAUGCAAUCUCAAAGAUUGUGCAUCCAAAGCACUUGUGGCUUCAUCAAGGAGAAGGAUCUUUGGAUCUCGAAUUAAAGCCCUUGCUAUGGCGAUCCUUUGCUUCUGUCCUCCUGAUAACUGAAGUCCGAAUUGCCCAACCUGAGGUACAAAUGAAUACUCACCAUGUCAGUUCUAGUAAUGAUCAUAAAUUGAUUUCAAACUAAAGAUCGAAAAAUUAUGGCUUACUUGUGUAUUGUAUCCAUCAGGUAAAUUAACGAUGAAGUCAUGGGCGUUUGCAGCUUUAGCUGCAUUUAUGAUAAGUUCCAUAGAAAAAUAUCUCCUCUAACAGGGUCAUAAAAUCUUUGAAGUAAAGAUAUGAUUGUGGAUUUUCCAGAACCACUGCCUCCUACAAGACCAACCGUCUUGCCAGCUUCAAUCUGAAGACUUAAUCCUUGAAGAACUGGGUUAUCAGGCCUUGAUGGCAUCUAUAACUGGAAUUCGGUCGAUCAUCUCAAACAUCUUGGUUGCGGCACAUGUUGCCUCUGAGAUGAAAGAAAGAUUUGGAAGCGCACUCAUAAUAGAGCUGAAAAUACCACCAUGAAGACAUUAGUGGCGCUAGAUAUGAUGUAGAGCCGUAGAGGCCCGGCGUAUAGGUUAAGCUUGUUGAAAUAUUGGUACUCAAAGAAGAAUGCUCUUGCAUUCGACAAAAACUGUACUCCCAAAUAUAAAAAAAUUUGUUGUGAAAGACUUGAUAGAUAUCCUAUAAGAUUAUUUCCAACUACAUUAAACUAAA